rnacentral:rRNA from 1 species
UACAGAGGGGGCAAGCGUUGUUCGGAAUUACUGGGCGUAAAGGGCGCGUAGGCGGCCUGCUAAGUCGAACGUGAAAUCCCCGAGCUCAACUCGGGAACUGCGUCCGAUACUGGCAGGCUUGAAUCCGGGAGAGGGAUGCGGAAUUCCAGGUGUAGCGGUGAAAUGACGUAGAUAUCUGGAGGAACACCGGUGGCGAAGGCGGCAUCCUGGACCGGCAUUGACGCUGAGGCGCGAAAGCCAGGGGAGCAAACGGG